CAUAAUAAAAGGGCAAUUGCUUGUAUACUCCCUAAAAAUUUCCGACUUUCUGAUUUACCCCUCUUAGAACGCUAAUAUUAAAAAUACCUUUUUUACGUUUCAAGUUUUUUCAAAUAUAUACCUACAGUUAAAUUCUGCAAUAGCUGUUAUCUCUGUAAAAUUACUAUUUUAUCCUUUCAAAUAUACUCUCCUACCAUCAUCAACUUUUCUUAUCUGAUUUUUAAUUUUUAGUCUUUACAAAUAUACCCCUCUACCGUCACCAACUUUUCUUAUAUAUUUGUCCUUAAGUUAAGGUCAAAAUAGCUAUUUUAAUUUUUUUUAACUCUGGUAAAUAUUUAACUCACUUUUAACCCGAGAUAGAUUAACGGAUGGUAACUAUAGGAGUGUUUUUGAAUAGCGGAGAAACAUAUGAUCAGUGUAUAUUGAAAAUAAAAAAAAAAGGUAGGAAUAAAUUAGAUAUUUUUAAAUUUUUGAGGGGUAUACCGGCAAUUAUUGCUAAUAAAAAAAGGG
rnacentral:lncRNA from 1 species